GCGGAUGUAGCUCAGUUGGUUAGAGCGCCUGAUUGUGGUCCAGGAGGUCGGGAGUUCAAUUCUCCUCAUUCGCCCCA
rnacentral:tRNA from 1 species